CUCUCGCAUAGUCAAGGGUCACUUUGCCAAAUAAUUGAAAGCCUAUACAGUAUCUCCCCUCUCGAAGUAGAUUCAUUAUUGCAACAAUAGGAAUAUAUAUCAGACCUAACUUAUAAUUCUAGCAUGAAAAAUCAAUCAAAGGAAACAGUUGAAAUACAAGAUAAUCAAACUAAUCUAUCAAUCCCUCGUUGCAUACACAGAUCUCCACAAUUCUAGAUAUAGGACUACUCACUCAUAAUCAUGAAAACAAUAACAAAAUCAUAUAAAAACUCAUACUUUGAAACAUGGCAAAUAACUAAGAAAAUAAUCUAAUUAACAAUGGAAGAAAUAACAAAGAAAUAAUGAAGAAAGAUUACCGAAUUAUAUUGAACUAUGAAUAAGCAAAAGGUUUGAUCUUGAAUUGAAAUCACAAAGCACUAAAAUUAAGGUACUUGAAAUCCUAUCUAGAUAAAACUAAUAAUAAAAACCAAGAUGAUUCUAAUAAUUUUGAUUUUCCUAUUUAUACAAGCCCUAAAACAAUAACCAAAAGUCUCGAAAAAUGGGCCCGUAUUCAUUAAAAAAUGCGUGUCGUUAGUCGCCCGAUGGGGCCAGAGAUGUCCGAUGGAAUCGGGCUCCAAAGCAGAGGAAAGGGCCGAAAAUCCACGGGCGCCCGAUGACAUCGGGCGGCCUGUUAACAUAGUAUUACGCAGCAGCUGGCAGGGGCGCCCGACGUCGGGCCAGGUCGCCCCAUCGGGCGGAAGACCGAAUCACGACUGGGCGUCCGACGCCCGAUCGGACCCGCAACAGAAACAUGGAACCUGCUUCUUCGCCCGAUCAGGCUGGGCCGCCCGAUCCUUUCGAGCCGGUCAGGUUAUGCGCGUUCCUUGUUCUUUCUUUGCUCAAAGUCCCGGAAAGCAUCGUCGGAAUCUUGAAACUCAGCGUCCAACCUCUCUAAUCCAGUGUGCAAUCAUAUAAAGUAGGUAAUAGCUCCCCAAAACCUACAAUCUAAUACAAAACAGCAAACCACAACUAGAUGGAGAGAGUUAGUACCAAAUGGCUCCUAAGAGCACCAUAACCACAACUUUUGGCAUAUAAAUAGGGGAGAAAAACUCUAUAUAAAAUCAUAACAUCAAGUACCAUGCGACUUUCUUAAAAUAAUCCAUGAGGACCAUACACCUCAGACAACAUCCAUUCAACAUAAUCCAAUUUGUAUAAAGGAUCGAGCACCACAACAAUAAAGACCAAUAUUAAAACAAUAAGAGUUUGAUAUAGAUCUUAGUUAGCAAUUCGUUAAUUAAUCCAAAAAAAUUAUUGUGCUUCUUCGACAUACAUAUAUACAAUAAACUGUAGCAAAAGCUCACAAUUUUGUCUUCCAUUGAAAGCUCGAACAUGAUUCCAAGAAGCUCGACCUACUUUAGCAAACUAGCAAUUUUGUCCUCAAUUUGAAGCUUGGACGAGAUUCAAAGUUCUCCCUUGAAGCUCGAAGUACAUUUAGAGAGUGAGGUCGCAAAGUUUAUCGCCCAAGAAGAUCCAGAGUUUCAACAUUAUUCUGGUAGAGAAUGGGAACUUGGUUUUACCUAUUCCUUCCCUGUAAUACAAACAUCCAUUUACUCUAGAACUUUGAUCACUUGGGCAGAAGCAAGGCUUCUCGAUAGAUGAUAUGGGAUUAACUGGAGAAGGAGCAGUGAAGCGAUUGCGACUGUCAAGGGCUCUUACAGUUUCGGACAGCACAAAUAUCUAUGAUGCUUGUCACAUAAUGGCUGCUCGCAGAGUAGAUGCCUUAUUGCUAACUUAUUCCAAUGCUUUACUUUGGGAUUCUUACUGACAAGGAAGAUUUAGACAUCUACUAGUUGUGGAAAAUAGAGAGGUUGUUGCUUUACUUGACAUAACAAAGUGCUUAUAUGACGCCAUUGUGUAAUGGACCCUUACACUCAUAGACUAAACCUCCUUCUUAAGGGAAAGGUUAGCAAUAAAUGAGUAAUUUUAUAAGAGAAAAUAUUAUGAGCAGAAGAUAGUGAAUUCUUGUAUUACUG